rnacentral:lncRNA from 10 species
GCCUUCUGAGAUUGCAGGAGAUGGAAAGGGGGAGACCGGAUCCUAGGGGAACCCAAUAUUCAGGUUUUCCUGGGUUCCUGAGAUGCAAGAUUUCCAAUUUUAAGACAUGGGAAGUUGUAGGCAGACUGGGAUGAGUUGGUCACCUGGGUCUUCCAUAGCUCCCAGUCUGAGAAAAUGAGACUCACCCAGUAAUAAGCAGAAGAUUUGGCUGGGUGAGGUGGCUCAUGCCUGUAAUCCCAGCACUUUGGGAGGCCGAGACAGGCAGAUCACAAGGUCAGGAGUUUGAGACCAGCCUGGCCAAGAUGGUGAAACCCCAUCUCUACUAAAGAUAUAAAAAUUAGCCGGGCGUGGUGGUGGGUGCCUGUAGUCCCAGCUACUCGGGAGGCUGAGGCAGGAAAAUCACUUGAACCCGGGAAGCGGAGGUUGCAGUGAGCCGAGAUCGUGCCACUGCACUCCAGCCUGAAGACAGAGCAAGGCUCCAUCUUAAAAAAAAAAAUGCAGAAGAUACUAUGGAAUGGGCCAGGAGAAAAAGGAAGGAUCAGGGAUGGGAGAGACACAGUGAGCCACACAGUAGCUGGCAUUCUGCAUGGUGGGCCUGGGCAGCCUGGCUCUUCAUUUGCAUAUGGGUCUUUCCCACCCCAGUCAAAUCUGCUGGAGCCAAUUCUGCUUCCUUCCAACAAAGAUGCCCAGACACCUGGCGGUAGUGUGUUACUUCCUGCUCCCAGCUCCUCUAACACCCCUGGAGAGCUCCAUGCCCACAGGUCUUACCUUCACCCACUUUCCCAGGCUCUUAGAUCAAACAUCAGGCACAGUGCAGGCAAUGGGGCCAUCCUCCCAAGUCCCAAAAGCCUUCUGUUUCCAGUAGAGAUGGGAGAAGCCUGAACUAAGCAGGUUUCUCACUUCCUUAUGGAGGAAGAAGAGCUAAGAGAGGUGACUGAUUUUAGUACAAAGGGCACAGGGCACAGAAACAUGCAGGAAUACAUUAGCUGCGUGCACUCCAGUGAUACAUAGCCUCUGUAAACCUGUUUCCUUAUCCUGAAAAUGGGGACAUUGUUCCUAUCUUGUGAUUGUAUUAAGGAUCAAAUGAGCAGCUGCUCAACAGAGGUUUCUGGAGAGGUCCUUCUCCACACAGACUUGGGAGGAGAUGCUUGUCCUAGGUCCAAAUCUCAUCCAGGUUUCCCGAUUUUUUCAGGUCUUCUGCUCAACUCAGGUACCAGCUGACACCCACCCAGUCCCUGGUGUUGCCUUCAGGAGCAGUGGCAAGAUGGGAGCUGGUUGGGGAAGGGGAUCCUAGCGCAGGGGGGAGGAGGAGAGAAUGGAAUGGCUGGACUUUGAGAUGAGAAGACAGUUGGAUGGGGAGGAGGCACCAUUUGCUGGAACUGAAGGGUUCUCAGUAGGGGCUCGAGGCAGGAUGUAUCUGUGAUAUCUGGACCUCUGGAGUCCCUUAAGCACAAGGAGGCAAGUGUGUGGCAGUGAAGACAUUCUGCCUUGGGCCCAAGCCCAAGACAGGUCUCCCUGAGCCCUGGGCAGACCAUCCGACCUAUGGUCAUUGGAAGGACCCACCUCCUCCCUAUCCCAGGCCUGUGUAAACGCCAGGAAGGCAGGUCCCUUUCUCCAUGCAGGCCCUGACUGGGGCAGUCAGCACCAUUAAGUUCUUCCUCUCUGAGGCUUUCCUGGGUCAACACUUCGAGGCUGUGUAGUUGGAGGGCAGGGAGCCUGAGCCAGGAGACGUCUUCCUGUUCAGGCUGAUUCCCCCCACCUGACGCUGGUGCGGGGCCCACGUUGGCAUAUACUGUGGCCAUGGAGAGAUCAUCCACUUUGAGGGUGAGUGCCUCCAGCAGAAACACAGGCCCAAGUCUGCGGAGAGGCUGCCCAGCCAAGCCACGCCCCACCAGUGAGCUGGCUACUCGGGGAUAAAGACUGAAGUCCCAGGCUGGGGGCAAGAACUCAGGAGGCUGUGGGCUCCUGGGAAGUUUCUGGGCUCCUGGAAAGGCAUCGUAUCCAAACAGGGGCAGCGCCCGCUGCUGCGCUCCUGCUGGCGCGUGCUGCGCAGAGUGAGCGAAGCGACGGACGCGGACCCACCAUCCUAUCACUCCAUGCGCAGCAACUGUGUGCACUUUGCACUGUGUCUGCUCGUCCCAGGUCCCAGCCUGGACCCCCGGCAAAUAGACGGGAGCUCCAGCAGGUCGGUGAGCGUGGCCCAGCUACCUGCACAGGACCCAUCCCACCUCCUGAGCAGACUAGCCAAAGCGCCUUAUAAACGCGCAACUGCAAAAUCCAGGCCCUUCUCUUCCCACUCCCCACCCAGGCCAGUUUUCUCCAAAUUCAAGAUCCACUUUUCUCUGGCAGGCACAAAGCCACCGGAACCAAGCGGACCCACCCACUUGUCUAGGUUAUCCCAACAGAACCUUCUCAUUACCCCAAUAGAACCUUACCCCAGUAGAAUUACCCCCAAUAGAACUUUUCUACUGAGCCAAGCUCCACCUUUCUGGGCCCCACUCCUUCCCAGGUAGGCCCGCCAAUUCUGCCCAUGGAGACUUCGGGAUGCUAGUUACAGACCAAGACUCAGGCCUUAGGAACUCCUCCAGUCCCCAUGCCCAGCUAAAAGACUCCAGCCACCUCAACUGAUGCCCAACUGGAUCCUACCUCUUCCCCCAGCCCAAUUCACUACUUUCCAUCGGAUCCAAGCCUUCCUUCCUUGGGCCUAGGGGUCACUCGGGCUCGGGAGCUGAACUGGAGGGCUCACAUGACUCAGGAGCCCUGGUGGUCACACCAGACCCUUCUCUUCCUUUUCAGGUGUCAAUGGACGUGGACGUGUCCCCGGAUUAAGCAUGACCUUGGCCCUCCUGGGUGGACGUGGAGGCUUCAGAAAGAUUCAUUAAACUACUUUCCAAAGCUUAAUUAGAUGUUCACCGUCCUCUGUAUCCUGUUUCCCAUCUCUCUAAGCCCCCAAGGGCUCCUCGGAGCUCCCUGACCUUAAUUCCUUAAAUUCCGCCACCUCCAGGAAGCUCCUCGGCUUCCUGCUGCCAAGCCAGAUUUUGUAGGAAAGGUGGGGCGGGAAAGGGAGCGUCCUUAGGUAUCUGAGGCCGGUCCUCGGGUGCGGUGACCCCUUCCCGCUCUAGAACCCCCAGCCUGCGGGCACAGCCUUCUUUCCAGUUCCCGCUUU